CAACCCCAGAGUGAGCCCUACCAAAGACUGUGGACUCUGGAUGAUAAUGAUAUGUCAAUCUGUGCUUUUCCUGCAGGGACUGAACAAGGGCAGUGUGUGCACAUGUGGGAGUGCCAGAAGCACCAGCGCAAUCCAGAUGUGCCCAGGCCCAUCUGUGCGUGAAAAUGCAGACACACCACACUAUUUAUCAAUUAGUGUCUGCUGCUGCCAGUGUCACCAGUUCUCUGCCUGAUGAAUGAUGCUAGGCUGGACAAGCCACACCCCAAGAUAUCCCGCUGCACUCAGAUACAAGACUGAAGAAGCAAGAACGUUAUAAAAAAGAAAGAAUGAAAAGAAAGAAGAAAAGCAACUAAGCCCAGAGAUGGAUCCCAAAACUGAAGAAUUGGUUUAAUUAAAUUGAAAGCUCUGGUGCUUGUGGUAAUUGCUAUGAAGGAAUCCAUAUCCCAUCAGAACCCUCUCCCCUGGAGUUUGCUCCCUCUACUUUCUCUGCAGCAGGUACUAAAAUUGCUUUUAUCUUUAGGGAGAUGCAGCCCACAGGGCCCAGAAAUUAUUGUGGGGUCAACUGUCUGGAGUGGGGCUUAGGGAGUAGUAGCAAAUAAUUCGGUCCAAACCUGGCUUUGACCUUGAAUUUCCCCAACUUAGACCUCACUCUUUUUUUUUCUGCAAAUGAGGCCUCAUAUGCCCUGGUUUGCAGAGACACUUAAAAGUAGGCAGUGCUUGCUUUUGUGGCCCCUCUGCUACUUCUGCUAUACACAGGGCGAGCUGGGUUUAUAACACCACCUAAACCACAGGCCACGCUGGGCUCCUCAUGCCCUGAGCUACCUCAUCUACUCUUUGGGCAUCAUUUGGCUCUGGGAAAUACUGUCGGUCCUCCCCGCUUUUUUUUUUUUUUUUUUCUUUUUCUUUUUGUAGACAGAGUCUCACUGUGUUGCUCAGCCUGGAGUGCAAUGGCGCCAUCUCGGCUCACUGCAACCGCCGCCUCCUGGGCUCAAGUGAUCCUCCUGCCUCAGCCUCCCAAGUAGCUGGGAUUACAGGCGCCUGCCACCUCACCCAGCUAAUUCUUGUAUUUUUAGUAGAGAUGGGGUUUCACCAUGUUGGCCAGGCUGGUCUCAGAUUCCUGACCUCAAGUGAUCUGCCUUGGCUUCCCAAAGGGCUGGGAUUACAGGCAUGAGCCACUGCACCCAGCCCUGUCUGUCCCUUUUAAUGCUAAUAGAGAAACUUGAUCCCAGAAGUAGAUAAAAUCAGCUUUUAAACAACGACAAAUGCAACAAGCAAUGGCAGGCCACAGGAAGCAAUUAGGAAUAGUGAGCGGGAAGAGCCCUGAAGAGACCUGGGUUUGAGUCCCAACCACACCAUAUACCAGGUUCAUAACUUUGAGAAACUCUGGGUGUUGAGUUUGAAUUGUGCUUUGGGGUCAGCUGGGUCCUGCCUGAUUGUCCAGGUUUCAAAACCAUUCUAAGCAUCUAGAUCAAAACAGGUUGUUUCCAUACUUUCAAAAACACUAUUUUGUUUACCAAUUAUCAAGCAUUUGUUAAGUGUCUAUCCCAAGCUAAGUACUGUGCUAUAUUGGUCAGGUCAGGCAACGCAGCACCUUAAAAGUUGAAGAGAAGCCUUUGGAACCAUUAUUCAUUCAUUCAAUUGAAUAUGGUCAAUUGGCAUCAUGAAUCUAACAAUUAGGAAUUGGGUAGCAAUAUGAAGGGUGUGUAUGGGAAGGAUCAGGUGGCAGGAGAACAGCAAGAAGACAGGAUUGGGGUCAUUUUCAGUCCUGGGCAAAGAAUUGAGCAUGCAGACAAGAUCAGUGGGGUCCUUCCUAGGUAUUUAUGAAUCCCUGAAUCUCAAACUGAAUACCUUGUGUAGCAGAAGCGAGCGUACACAGACCCUAGCAGAUACACAUGUGAAUCUGGGUAGUCCCUGAAGAACAGGACAGGGCUCAGCUGCAGGUACCGUGCACUAUGACCCUGCCAGCCACACACAUGGGCACUAACAUUCUGAGCAGUCAUCUAGAAGCCAGCAGCCAGUGCAGGAUGGGGGUCCCAAAGGGCUUGGGGAAUCCACAAACCACAUGGUCACACCCUUAAUGCCGAAGAGCAGGGGAAAUGGAGGUGCACACAGGUCCUAACUAUAACAUGAAAAGGGAUGGGUGGGAAUAAGAAAAAGUCAUUAGAAAAGAGGAGCUCUAAAAUGGCUCAGAAUCAAGAAGAAGUUGACUCAGUAUCAAUGUGUGGCUCAGCAGACAUCAAAUCCCAUGAUAAAGCCUUGUUUCCCUAUGUUCACUGGGCUGGAACCCAAACUGAAUCCAGCUCUAGGGAAAAAGAGAAGGUUUGGGGUAAGAGUGUGUGUAUAUGUGUGGUGUAUGUGUCUGUGUUUGGGUGUGGGUGUGGGGGGGAGGGUAAGGAGCUGAAUUUUAAAAAUCCAUCACAAUCAAUUAUCACAAGUAUGUCCAUUUUUCCAGCCUGCUAGCCAGAGUCAAAGACUGUGUGCAUUUGAAAUCUCCAACCUUUUAAAACAUUACUGUGAAGUUGAAAGUUCCUGGUGUCUUUUGAUUAAACAUCGUGCUAGGUAAUGACUGUUUUACUUCUUAUUCUUUUUUGCCCCCUUCAAAUUACUGAUUGUUGUCUGACAUUAAGGCCCCAUUUGCUCUUAGGAAAUUAACAAGCCUACGAAACUCUUAAUGAAUUGAAACUCAUCAAAUGUUUGGAAACUAUGGCAGUCUUAAGAUUCUUUUCCUUUUAAUCUAUCUCUCUGUGAAAUGUCUCAUUUUUUCCACAUAUUCACUUGGAUUCAGACAGCUGCACUUUAGGAAUUAGGUUUUGAGUCUUGCUUAUCUGAAGUAGCAGGGAGUCACCUGCCCACAGAGGUGCAAGGGCUUGAGAACUUGGGUGGUUUCUCCAACCAGCAACGUGCUUACUGUCUUUCUGCAUAAGCAUCGACCUGGCUGCACCAAGUGAUUUCUACUUUCCAUCCAAGGGUGCCUUAGAGCUUUAAUACAUUUGAAAAGACAUUUCUAGGGUACAGUCUGGUCAUCAAACAGAACUACUUCCAUUUUGGAAUAAAGUGACUGGGCUUCAAAGGGAUUAAUCUUGUGUAUGGGCCAUGCCACCUGCUAGGGAGUUGUGAGCUAAUGGUGGGCAUCCUUGAAUCCCAUCUUAUCUGGAUAGUUUCUCCUUUUCUAAUGCCAUCAUCAUCUAGCAGCAGACCAUAUACAGAGGUUCCAGUUGAGACCUUCAGCUUUGUGAAGGGCGGGAAUUCCUGAAACUGUCGCAAGGCUUGGGGUCUGAGGAAUACAUAACCACCCAAGUAAGGAGCAUCCAGGAGCAAAUUCCACACUAUCUCUUGCCUCAGAAGUCAGGAAAAAUAAUCAGGUAACUAGGAAACCCUGAGGAAAUUUCAGUCAUCAGUUCACCUUGGGAAGUGGAGUUGUUAUGUGAGUGUUUAUGUUCAGGUGUGUCAGUAGGAGGAGCCUGAUGAGGAUGAAGAAUAAUGAGCAUAGCCCAAGGGGAACACUUUCCUCUCUAGUCAACAACCAUUUCCAAUCCUUGGACAACCAACCACACAGUCGCAAAGCCAGGUGUCCUUGGACACAUGUGAAUGGGGAGAGGGGUGUGCCCAGCUCACAGAGCCCUCAGCCCUAGAGCAGUUCUGACCUUGACUUAGUAUAUCUUCCAGCUAAUCAUGAGUCUAGACACACAUGCCCCAAAUAGUCUUGGUAGAGGCUUCCCAGGGUGAUCCACUGCUGUUAAGCUACAUGGUGGAGCUGGGAACCACAUGGCAAUCCUUGGAAACAUCAUGCCAUCAUCUCAUGGUAUUUAGAUUCUCAGCUCAAAACUUAGAGCUCUGCCAUUGGCUUCUUAUAUGAUAUGGAAUCUCAGCUCUUCAAUCCUCAGAAUGCAGGAAAUGGUUUCUUACAUGUAUUCGGAAAACAAGCAUACUAUGUAGAACAAAUAACACCUCAAACCAAAUGGAGGCUGUUGCGAGUCCUCACCAUAAUAAAGCAAAGGAAAGAACCCGUGGGGUUUCUGCCCAUGUCUGAGAGCUGAAUUCUGGCUUCCUUGCUCCUGCUUACUUCUUAGCAGCAGGACCUUGGCCAUCAAGAGUUAACUCCAUCUGACUCUAAUGCACGCACUGCCACCCAGAACAAUAAGCCAGGCAAUGGAGAAUCCUGCCAGGACCAGUAUUGAUUGGCUUGCUUGAUUAGUUGGUUAAUUGAAUAUCACUGCUUUCUAAUAUAAUUAAAACAAGAUAAAUACUGGGGCUUUGUCCCGUAAGCAAGUGCCAUUAGUGAUCAUGGUACACACCGUGAUUAAAAAUGCAAUCGACUGGGAGGGUUAUUUAUGAACUUGCCAGCCUCUAGUGCCACUCCAUGGUUUGCAGGGCCUUGAGAUACAACGUGGCUGGCAUAGAGCUCCCUAACCUGUCAUGACUGUGCUGGUCUCUUAAGAAAGGAACUUAUUUCACAGGGGAAUGCAUGCAGGUAAAACUAUUUUAUGCUUGCCCCUAGCUCCCUUGCUUUAAAGUAUCAGACAGUGAAACUACAGCACCAUGGAAAUACCAUGCAUGACAGUUUCCUCCUUUGCCUCACUUUCCUCAUUCCCAAAUAUAAGACUGGCUUUCUGCCCACUCU
rnacentral:lncRNA from 10 species